GACAGAGGGUGCAAACGUUGUUCGGAAUUACUGGGCGUAAAGCGCGUGUAGGCGGUUCGGUAAGUCUCUUGUGAAAGCUCCCGGCUCAACUGGGAGAGGUCAAGGGAAACUACCGGGCUAGAGUGUGGCAGAGGAAGCUGGAAUUCCCGGUGUAGCGGUGAAAUGCGUAGAGAUCGGGAGGAAUACCUAUGGCGAAAGCAGGCUUCUGGGCCGUCACUGACGCUGAUCUGCGAAAGCUAGGGGAGCAAACAGG
rnacentral:rRNA from 1 species